rnacentral:rRNA from 1 species
CAGUAGCCGCGGGAAUACGUAGGGUGCGAGCGUUAAUCGGAAUUACUGGGCGUAAAGCGUGCGCAGGCGGUUUUGUAAGACAGAGGUGAAAUCCCCGGGCUCAACCUGAGAACUGCCUUUGUGACUGCAAGGCUAGAGUACGGCAGAGGGGGAUGGAAUUCCGCGUUUAGCAGUGAAAUGCGUAGAUAUGCGGAGGAACACCGAUGGCGAAGGCAAUCCCCUGGGCCUGUACUGACGCUCAUGCACGAAAGCGUGGGGAGCAAACAGGAUUAGAUACCCCCGUAGUCCCUGUAUCUUAUAC